GGGGUGGUAGCAGUAGGUAGCUCGUCGGGCUCAUAACCCGAAGGUCGUAGGUUCGAGUCCUACCCCCG
rnacentral:tRNA from 1 species